GAAAUGCGAUAAGUAGUGUGAAUUGCAGAAUUCAGUGAAUCAUCGAAUCUUUGAACGCACAUUGCGCCCUUUGGUAUUCCAAAGGGCAUGCCUGUUCGAUCGUCAUUUGUACCCUCAAGCUUUGCUUGGUGUUGGGCGUCUUGUCUCUAGCUUUGCUGGAGACUCGCCUUAAAGUAAUUGGCAGCCGGCCUACUGGUUUCGGAGCGCAGCACAAGUCGCACUCUCUAUCAGCAAAGGUCUAGCAUCCAUUAAGCCUUUUUUUCAACUUUUGACCUCGGAUCAGGUAGGGAUACCCGCUGAACUUAAGC
rnacentral:misc_RNA from 1 species